GCCGGAGUGGCGGAAUGGCAGACGCACCAGACUCAAAAUCUGGCGAUGGCAACAUCGUGCGGGUUCAAGUCCCGCCUCCGGCACCA
rnacentral:tRNA from 5 species